rnacentral:rRNA from 1 species
UACGGGGGGGGCAAGCGUUGUUCGGAUUUACUGGGCGUAAAGGGCGCGUAGGCGGCCAGCACACGUCAGUUGUGAAAUCUCCGAGCUUAACUCGGAACGGUCAACUGAUACUGUGCGGCUAGAGUGCAGAAGGGGCAACUGGAAUUCUUGGUGUAGCGGUGAAAUGCGUAGAUAUCAAGAGGAACACCUGCGGCGAAGGCGGGUUGCUGGGCUGACACUGACGCUGAGGCGCGAAAGCUAGGGGAGCGAACGGG